UUUUACAAUGGAGAGUUUGAUCCUGGCUCAGGAUGAACGCUAGCUACAGGCUUAACACAUGCAAGUCGAGGGGAAACGACAUUGAGUGCUUGCACUCUUUGGACGUCGACCGGCGCACGGGUGAGUAACGCGUAUCCAACCUUCCCAUUACUGUGGGAUAACCUGCCGAAAGGCAGACUAAUACCGCAUGGUCUUCGAU
rnacentral:rRNA from 1 species